UGUCGGACGCGAGACCUGACCACGUUUAUCAGCUCCGCAUUUUUUCAUAAUUUAAGCCCUUAAAUUGCAACACUUCUGGAAAAAUUUUGUUCGCCGAUGCUGGGAUCAAGUUCGGUCACCGAUUAACAAAAAUGAAAAAAAAAUCCUAGGAGUCAAAUUUUGCCGAGGAGACCCAGCAACGCGGAAUAUAUAACCACUGCUCAUCCCCUGUUUGUUAAAAUAAAAAGAGAACCUUUUGAAGAACACCUUAGACAUCAGCGGUAUCGACAUCAGCCCUGCUUUGUGGAUAAUGUGCUUCAUCAAUUAGGUAGAAUGCGAUUUUAUUAGGAAAAUAAUUUUUAGAUCGAUCUAUAAAUUUAUAUUAUAAAUUAUUAU